rnacentral:rRNA from 1 species
UACGAAGGGGGCUAGCGUUGUUCGGAAUUACUGGGCGUAAAGCGCGCGCAGGCGGCUAUCCAAGUCAGUGGUGAAAGCCCGGAGCUCAACUCCGGAACUGCCAUUGAAACUGUUUAGCUUGAGGAUGAGAGAGGUGAGUGGAAUUCCCAGUGUAGAGGUGAAAUUCGUAGAGAUCGGGAGGAACACCAGUGGCGAAGGCGGCCAUCUGGAUCAACACUGACGCUGAGGCACGAAAGCGUGGGGAGCAAACAGG